GCUAAACAGCUAGCUUAACCACUUAACUAAUCAAAUCAACAUUAAAACAUCUUAACANNNNNNNNNNNNNNNNNNNNCCAAAACAUUCUACCGCCCUAGUAUGGGAGACAGAAAAGGCAACAACUUCAAGCAAUAAUAAAAGUACCGCAAGGGAACGCUGAAAGAGAAAUGAAAUAAAUCAUCAAAGCACAACAAAGCAGAGAUUAGCCCUCGUACCUUUUGCAUCAUGAUUUAGCCAGUAUCACCGAGCAAAGAGUACUUUAGUUCAAAACCCCGAAACUAAGUGAGCUACCCCGGGACAGCCUAUAAAUUAGGGCCAACCCGUCUCUGUGGCAAAAGAGUGGGAAGAUCUCCGGGUAGAGGUGACAGACCUACCGAACUUAGUUAUAGCUGGUUGCCUAAGAAAUGAAUAGAAGUUCAGCCUGCAUUCCUCAACUCACACACUAAUACACGAGUAAGAGCAAUAUGCAAGAGUUAGUCAAAGGAGGUACAGCUCCUCUGAAACAGGACACAACCUUACCAGGAGGUUAAAGAUUAUACUAAACAAGAUAACCGCUUCAGUGGGCCUAAAAGCAGCCACCCAAAUAGAAAGCGUUAAAGCUCAAGCGGAUUAAAAAUCUAUUAUUCAAAUACUAAAUCUUAUACCCCUAAUUAUAUUAGGCCAUCCUAUGCAUUCAUAGAAGAGACACUGCUAAAAUGAGUAAUAAGAAGGAACCCCCUUCUCCCCAGCCUACGUGUACACUAGAUCGAACCCCCCACUAGUAAUUACCGAACCCAAUAAAAGAGGGUAUUGUGAAUCACUUGUCUUUUAAAUGAAGACCUGUAUGAAUGGUGAAACGAGGGCUUAACUGUCUCCCCUCUCAAGUCAAUGAAAUUGAUCUGCCCGUGCAGAAGCGGACAUAUAUAUACAAGACGAGAAGACCCUUUGGAGCUUUAGAUAUAAGAUCACCUAUGUCAAGAACUACAAAACAAGUUAAACUAAAUAGCAAUAUGAUCCCAAUCUUUUGUUGGGGCGACCGCGGGAAAAAACAAAGCUCCCACGAGGACCGGGACAACCAAUCCCAAAACCAAGAAAGACAUCUCUAAGUCACAGAACAUCUGACCACAAAGAUCCGGCUACAAGCCGACCAACGGACCAAGUUACCCUAGGGAUAACAGCGCAAUCCCCUUCCAGAGUCCAUAUCGACAAGGGGGUUUACGACCUCGAUGUUGGAUCAGGACAUCCUAAUGGUGCAGCCGCUAUUAAGGGUUCGUUUGUUCAACG
rnacentral:rRNA from 1 species